rnacentral:ncRNA from 2 species
CGCCGUACCUCGGGGUGGCAGGGUACCUGCCCCGUCCGGUCAGGAUCCGUUCCGCCGGUCGGGCCAUGCAAGACCUGUCUGAGAUUUGCGUAAGCGCAUCAACCCGUUGAACCUGAACCGGUUAACACCGGCGGAGGGAAGGUGAGGGCCGCGCGA